UGCUAACUGUGUACACUGCCGUGCCGGCAAGGGUUUUCGCCACGUGCUCUGAGCUCAGAGUGCCAGCAGCUGCGGCGUGCUUCUGCUGGGAGACAGAGGCGAAAAACGGCGCCGUACGGAGCCGCCUGGCUGUCGGCCCCGGCGGCAGAUUGGCGGGGUGGAGGGCUCGAGUAGUGUCGCCGAACCGAGUGGCAAGCUCGGCCCCCAGCCGGAGGCAGUGCUGGUGGAUGAAUGUGGAGAGAGAUAAGAGAGGGUUUGAGGGUUUUGCGGGUUCCAUCGUCGCAAGAAGGAAAUG
rnacentral:misc_RNA from 1 species